GGCGAACGCUGGCGGCGUGCCUAAUACAUGCAAGUAGAACGCUGAAGGAGGAGCUUGCUCUUCUGGAUGAGUUGCGAACGGGUGAGUAACGCGUAGGUAACCUGCCUGGUAGCGGGGGAUAACUAUUGGAAACGAUAGCUAAUACCGCAUAACAGUAGAUGUUGCAUGACAUUUACUUAAAAGGUGCAAUUGCAUCACUACCAGAUGGACCUGCGUUGUAUUAGCUAGUUGGUGGGGUAACGGCUCACCAAGGCGACGAUACAUAGCCGACCUGAGAGGGUGAUCGGCCACACUGGGACUGAGACACGGCCCAGACUCCUACGGGAGGCAGCAGUAGGGAAUCUUCGGCAAUGGACGGAAGUCUGACCGAGCAACGCCGCGUGAGUGAAGAAGGUUUUCGGAUCGUAAAGCUCUGUUGUAAGAGAAGAACGAGUGUGAGAGUGGAAAGUUCACACUGUGACGGUAUCUUACCAGAAAGGGACGGCUAACUACGUG
rnacentral:rRNA from 1 species